UACGGAGGGGGGCAAGCGUUGUUCGGAAUUACUGGGCGUAAAGGGCUUGUAGGUGGCCAACUAAGUCCGACGUGAAAUCCCUAGGCUUAACCUAGGAACUGCGUCGGAUACUGGAUGGCUUGAAUCCGGGAGAGGGAUGCGGAAUUUCCGGUGUAGCGGUGAAAUGCGUAGAUAUCGGAAGGAACACCAGUGGCGAAAGCGGCUUCCUGGUCCAGCACCGACGUUCAGGCACGAAAGCGUGGGGAGCAAACAGGAUUGAGAAAC
rnacentral:rRNA from 1 species